CAGUAUUAUAUGCUGAUGUUAAAGAUUAAGCCAUGCAUGUGUAAGUUUAAAGACCUAGUAGGAUGAAACUGCGGACGGCUCAUUAUAACAGUAAUAGUUUCUUUGGUUAGUAUGUACAAGGAUAACUUUGUGAAUGAUAAAGCUAAUACUUGAGACGAUCCGGGGAGUACUUGUACUUUCCGGCCGGUGGUCGCAAGGCUGCCGAGAAAUGACAUUCUCUUGUGAAAAAGGAUGCCACGACAAUUGAGGAAAGCGACGCUUUUUACAAGUAACCAAUGGGAAUUUCUGAUCUAUCAAUUAGUUGGUAGUAUCGAGGACUACCAAGAUUAUAACGGAUAACGAGGAAUUGGGGUUCGACAUCGGAGAGGGAGCUUUACAGAUGGCUACCACUUCUAAGGAAGGCAGCAGGCGCGUAAAUUACCCACUUUCGACAUGAAGAGGUAGUGACGACAAUUAACUCUUGGGGCC
rnacentral:rRNA from 1 species